GAUGAACGCUGGCGGCGUGCCUAAUACAUGCAAGUCGAGCGAACAGACGAGGAGCUUGCUCCUCUGACGUUAGCGGCGGACGGGUGAGUAACACGUGGAUAACCUACCUAUAAGACUGGGAUAACUUCGGGAAACCGGAGCUAAUACCGGAUAAUAUAUUGAACCGCAUGGUUCAAUAGUGAAAGACGGUUUUGCUGUCACUUAUAGAUGGAUCCGCGCCGCAUUAGCUAGUUGGUAAGGUAACGGCUUACCAAGGCAACGAUGCGUAGCCGACCUGAGAGGGGGAUCCGGCAAAAUUGAACUGAGACACGGUCCAGACUCCUACGGGAGGCAGCAGUAGGGAAUCUUCCGCAAUGGGCGAAAGCCUGACGGAGCAACGCCGCGUGAGUGAUGAAGGUCUUCGGAUCGUAAAACUCUGUUAUUAGGGAAGAACAAAUGUGUAAGUAACUAUGCACGUCUUGACGGUACCUAAUCAGAAAGCCACGGCUAACUACGUG
rnacentral:rRNA from 1 species